rnacentral:rRNA from 1 species
UUUUGGAGAGUAUGAUACCGGCUCAGGACGAACGCUGGCGGCGUGGAUUAGGCAUGCAAGUCGAACGAGAAUUGUAACUUCGGUUAUAAAGAGAGUGGCGAAAGGGUGAGUAACGCGUAGGUAAUUUGCCCUUGAGACUGGAAUAACAUCCCGAAAGGGUUGCUAAUACCGGAUAAUAUCUAUUAACCCACGGGUUUUUAGAUCAAAUGGAAGCUCUGCUUUCACUCAAGGAGAAACCUGCGUCCUAUUAGCUUGUUGGUGGGGUAAUGGCCUACCAAGGCGAUGAUGGGUAGCUGGUCUGAGAGGAUGGUCAGCCACAUUG